AGUGAACGCUGGCGGUAGGCCUAACACAUGCAAGUCGAACGGCAGCACAGUAAGAGCUUGCUCUUACGGGUGGCGAGUGGCGGACGGGUGAGGAAUACAUCGGAAUCUACUUUUUCGUGGGGGAUAACGUAGGGAAACUUACGCUAAUACCGCAUACGACCUACGGGUGAAAGCAGGGGAUCUUCGGACCUUGCGCGAUUGAAUGAGCCGAUGUCGGAUUGGCUAGUUGGCGGGGUAAAGGCCCACCAAGGCGACGAUCCGUAGCUGGUCUGAGAGGAUGAUCAGCCACACUGGAACUGAGACACGGUCCAGACUCCUACGGGAGGCAGCAGUGGGGAAUAUUGGACAAUGGGCGCAAGCCUGAUCCAGCCAUACCGCGUGGGUGAAGAAGGCCUUCGGGUUGUAAAGCCCUUUUGUUAGGAAAGAAAAGCAGCAGGUUAAUACCCCGCUGUUCUGACGGUACCCAAAGAAUAAGCACCGGCUAACUUCGUG
rnacentral:rRNA from 1 species